GCAAGUCGAACGAGAACGGGAUAUAGUUUACUAAAACAGUCAACAAAGUGGCGCGCGCGAGUAAAACAUAUAGGUAACGUGCCCUAGAGAAGGGGAUAACAUUUGGAAACGAAUGCUAAUACCCCAUAUGCCUUUAAGUCUUAAGUCUGCAAGGGAAAUAUUUAUAGCUCUAGGAUCGGCCUGUACGGUAUCAGUUUGUUGGUGAGGUAAUGGCUCACCAAGACUAUGACGCCUAACUGGUUUGAGAGGAUGAUC
rnacentral:rRNA from 1 species